rnacentral:piRNA from 1 species
UUCAACGGUUUAGUGAAACAU